rnacentral:rRNA from 1 species
GUACGUAGCAAUACGUAUUGUAAAGUGGGGCACGGGGGAGUAACACGUGGGUAAUCUGCCCUCGAGUUUGGGAUAACCCCGCGAAAGCGGGGCUAAUACCGAAUAAGACCACGGGGACCAAAGUCCCUGAGGUAAAAGAUGGCCUCUAUUUAUAAGCUAUCACUUAAGGAUGAGCCCGCGGCCCAUUAGCUAGUUGGUAGGGUAACGGCCUACCAAGGCUAUGAUGGGUAGCUGGUCUGAGAGGACGAUCAGCCACACUGGAACUGAGACACGGUCCAGACUCCUACGGGAGGCAGCAGUGGGGAAUAUUGCGCAAUGGGCGAAAGCCUGACGCAGCAACGCCGCGUGGGGGAUGAAGGUUUUCGGAUUGUAAACCCCUUUCGAUCGGAACGAAUCUCCUCCUGGUAAAUAAUCAGGAGGAUCGACGGUACCGAGAGAAGAAGCCACGGCUAACUCUGUGCCAGCAGCCGCGGUAAGACAGAGGUGGCGAGCGUUGUUCGGAUUUAUUGGGCGUAAAGCGAACGCAGGUGGUUUGGUAAGUCAGGGGUGAAAGUCCACAGCUUAACUGUGGCACUGCCUUUGAUACUGCCUUUCUUGAGUGCAUGAGGGGGAAGCGGAAUUCCGAGUGUAGAGGUGAAAUUCGUAGAUAUUCGGAGGAACACCGGUGGCGAAGGCGGCUUCCUGGCAUGUAACUGACACUCAUGUUCGAAAGCGUGGGUAGCAAACAGGAUUAGAUACCCUGGUAGUCCACGCCCUAAACGAUGGGCACUAGGUGUGGGAGGUAUCGACCCCUUCCGUGCCGCAGCUAACGCAUUAAGUGCCCCGCCUGGGGAGUACGGCCGCAAGGUUGAAACUCAAAGGAAUUGACGGGGGCCCGCACAAGCGGUGGAGCAUGUGGUUUAAUUCGACGCAACGCGAAGAACCUUACCUGGGCUUGACAUCCCGAUCGUAAUUUAUGGAAACAUAGAGGUCAGUUCGGCUGGAUCGGUGACAGGUGCUGCAUGGCUGUCGUCAGCUCGUGUCGUGAGAUGUUGGGUUAAGUCCCGCAACGAGCGCAACCCUUGUCCUUAGUUGCCAUCGGGUCAAGCCGGGCACUCUAGGGAGACUGCCGGUGAUAAGCCGGAGGAAGGUGGGGAUGACGUCAAGUCCUCAUGGCCUUUAUGCCCAGGGCUACACACGUCCUACAAU